CUUCACCCUCGCCCGAGUACCCAUUGGAGGGCAAGUCUGGUGCCAGCAGCCGCGGUAAUUCCAGCUCCAAUAGCGUAUAUUAAACUUGUUGCAGUUAAAAAGCUCGUAGUUGAAUCUCACGUCCCGCCCUAGUGUUCUUCACUAGGCGGACGCCUCGUUACUUUGAGAAAAUUAGAGUGUUUCAAGCAGGUUUCGCCUGUAUAAUUGAGCAUGGAAUAACCUUGUAUGACCCUGUCGUACCGUUGGUUGACUUUGGGUAAUGGUUAAUAGGAACGGUUGGGGGCAUUCGUACUCGACU
rnacentral:rRNA from 1 species